rnacentral:tRNA from 1 species
GGACAUGUGGCUCAAAUGGUAGAGUACCAGUUUAGCAAUCUUGAAGCCCUGAGUUCAAAUCAUAGCACUUUCU